AUGGAGGUGGGGGGAAAAGAAGAGAGACCUAAAGUAAGUACCCACAGCCGCGUCUGGAAGAAGGAGUUAGGUUGUGGGCAGCGCAGCCUGGGUUUGUGCCCAGGAAGCUGAGAGAAGCUGGAAGAAAGCAGCAGACCUCAUGGCAGGUGUCGGCGCACACGUGCUGAGUCUUGCACUCCAAGUGCGUGCUGUUGUGGGUUCCAGCAGUGGGAACCAACUGGAGACAGACCUAAGACUUCAUCAGGAAUUCAUUCCAGACAACUCUUCACCCAUUUACCUGAAACAUAGCAAGGUACCCCGAGGGAAUGUCAGACCAACACCAGGACCACUCUUUACCCUCAGACUCUGAUGGAGACAGCCCAGGAACCUGAGCCCAAGAGCCUUGGGAAUAGCAGUGCCCCCCAAUUCCCAGACCUGCGUCCAGUCCAGUCCCUGUAGCUAUCACUGAAUGGAAAAAUCCUUGUGGAGAUGGGGCUCACCUUCCUUAUCACCAUCAGCAAUAACUUCUGACUAAAUGCUAUCAGUAGGCAGAUAGCACACAAGCCCUGGGGGUGGCUGCAUGCACUCAUCUGACCACCAGUCCUCCUCCAGCACAGCCCUUACAACUGUGAUCUAGGAAGCAACUUCUGUGGAGAGGGGGUCAGCCAUCUCUACCAACCACCACACACAGGCAGACAAGCCCGCCCUCCUGAAGCAGGAGGUUACUCCAAGGGAGAGACAGGAAACAGUAUGUGCCAGGCAAGUCAGACGACCAGCACCUCUUUGACCACUGGCUCCCUUCAUACCCUGACGGAGGCAGACUAGGACCCUGAGCCCAAGAGCCUUGGGAAGAGUGUUGCUUCCAGCCCAGCUCCCUCAGCCAUCAUUCAUGGAAGCAACCCCUGCAGUGAUGCAGCCUGACUGCUCCUGGAGGGGCUACAUCCACAGCUACCCAAGACUUGAAAAGAAAGUUCUGGCCACCCAAGUCCUUGGCACUGUCAAAUGGUUCAACAUCAGAAACUUAGUGUGAUUUUAUUAGUAGAAAUAACAUUAAAGAAGAAGCAUCAUAGGACUUUUUCAUCUGACUUGCACCUGAAAACCUUUUAUGUAUAUUGUCUCUCCAUUAAAAUAUGAGCAACCUUGAGAUCAGGGACUGUCUUACUUUUCUGUUUGUGUCUGUAGAACUCAGCACUUUGUUUUGCACAUAGUAAGCACUUAAUAAAUGCUUCAUUUAUUCAUUUUGUGAGAUAAACAACAGAAAUGGGUUACAUAUGGAAAGUACUUUGCAGACUUUAAAAACAUAAAUGUCAUAAAUAAAACAUAAAUGUCAGCUGUUAUUAUUUUUUGUAAUGUCCUUAUUUAGUGAGAUACCAAAUUCUCUUGGAUUUGGAAGCUAUUUUCUGAAAAUAUGAGAAAGGACAGAACCCGGGGGAAUUUUUCUUGGUCUAAUAGGACCUCAGAUUCAAUAUCCAUCCUUGGUAAGUACAGGGAAAAGGGACCGCACAGUGGUUGUUGGGAGAGGCGGAUUUUUUUUAAAAUUUGUUAAUAUCUUUUGUUUUGCUGUUUCUCAUGACACCCCUCUCCCAGUCCUGAACGUUCUCACUGUCUGUCCCCUAUAUAUUUUAGAAAUGAGGCCUUUAUCAGAGACACUAACU